AUUAUACUCCCUCCGUCCGAAAAUACUUGUCAUCAAAAUGGACAAAAAGGGAUGUAUCUAAAACUAAAAUACAUCUAGAUACAUGCCUUUUAUCCAUUUUGCUGACAAGUAUUUCCGGAUGGAGGGAGUAUAUA
rnacentral:pre_miRNA from 1 species